rnacentral:lncRNA from 1 species
UGCAGCUCACCACGCGCCCUAUCGGCACGGUGAGCAGCGGCCCCCGGCGAAGCACAGGGCCACGCAGGGGCUGCAGUAGCACGUGAGGCGGCGAGGUGACACGCACAGUAGACAGGCAGGGCGCAGCUAAGUAGAGCUUCAUCAAAACAUUUAUGAGCAAUUUCAGGUCCAACAAACAAUAUACUCCCUCCGUCCAAUAAAAGAUGUCUCGUCCAACAAAAAAUGUCUUAAGUUUGUUAAUUCGGAUGAAUCUAGACAUGAUUUAGUGUAUAUAUGCAUUGAAAUUUAGUCAAAGUUAAGACAUCCUUUGUUGGACGGAGGGAGUACAUAGUUUGUGUGCCAAAAAAUUUAUACCAUUGAAUUUGUAUUCAAAAUAGGUUUCUAAUAGUAUAACUUUUAUGCCAUAAGCCACUUAUUAUUGAUGCAACUGAUGGUCAAAGAAAUGUCAAAAACCUAAAAUGAAACGGACUUUAUUGUUUGCUACAAGCCUAAUCUUCAGCGUCGAUGUCUUCUCGCUGCUGUUGCGGUUUGCUCUGUGGCUCCUUCCUCAUAUCUUGCUUUGUUCUUGCAUCAUUACCAGAUAUUGAAUGAACAAAAUAUCUAACAUUUUGAAUGAACAUCUUUUGGUAGGUAUUCGAGUUGCUUGAGAUACCACAGAGCACCCUGUGCGGCAUGUUCUUGUGCCGCCUUCUUCUGUAAUUUAGCAUCGCUGUAGCACUCCAAAAGUGUCUCCGAGGGUCCCCUGAUCUGAACAAUAACCUUGUAAGUGAACCUGCGUCAUUUCAUACAUGAAGUUAGCAGCAUAAAUAGACUUUUUUUUUGCGACGAAUGAACAGAUUUAUUUUGAUAGGACAUAACUGGUGCUGGCAACAUUAUGUACAAACAUAUAGACAAUGGGGAGAUCUAGGUGACUCGCAUAAAAUUAACUGUGCUGCAUUUAUGUUCAGCACACUGGACUUGCCUGCAAUGCACAUCGCACAGAAGUAAUAAACACAGUUUUUUUCCAGGCCAUAUUAUUGAACAAACCUGCAGUGACAUCUCUUAGAAAUUUAAAGUUUAUGUUCCCCGAAGUUUCUAACUUAAUUUUUUUACAUAUGCAAACCCACAAAAAAUCAAGUAAUUUAACCAAUGUUCCAAAAGGUGGUAAGCAGUACGAGAAUGAUGAUAUAUUUCACACAUAUUCCUCUCUUUUAGAAUACUAUUUAUAACCUAGAAACCCAGGUGCAUAAUCAGCAUGCCCCUUACCAUAAGAAAUAAUACAAAAAAGAGGAGAAAAAACUGAGAUAUGGACAUCAAACAUGAUGGAUAGGAAACAUAUAUUUCACACAUCGAGGAAGCCAUUGGAGCUCUGUAACUAAAAACAUACAAGCAGGAUACAAUUCAUUGUAACACAUGCAAGUUAACCUCUGUGCUCCUUCAGUAAGUAGAUGUGCUCACCUUCGAAGGUGGCUUGGCCCUUCCUCUAUGCAUAACUGAAAUUCAGGGGGUUUCCAGUAACUUGCAGCACAUAAUUCAAAAAGAAACGACUUCGCUGUUUUAUGUACCAUAUCACCUACAAAGGUGAUUAAAAGUGUUAAGACACUGCCUUUAAAUUUAAAACAAAAUUUUAAGUGUGAAUGCCAGUACUUGAUUAAUGUAAUAUCUAACAAUGUUUAUGGAGUAUAAUACAAUAGAAUCAUGUAUCUUGCCAAUUGGAGCAAACUAAGUUAAACAAAAACACCAUACAAUUUGGUCCAUUUGUUAUGUCCCACACAAUACAUCAAGUUGAAUGCACAAAGUUGAAUGAAACACACAAUUGCUUCUUCAUAUAUGGAGUAGGAUAUUUUUACACCAAAUUUGCACCACAAAUACUGUAAAAAUGGUGCUUCAUAAAUACCACAGACAUUUCCUAUCUUCACAAGAAUAUAAGAUUCAAUCAAGGUUUAAAGACCAAUGGUUCCUAUUAAUUUGGAUAUCAGGAAUGUUUAUACUAAAUCUAGAUUCCCUUCAGAAUGUCACCACACAAGAUUAAUAAAAUCGAAUUUGACAGUUUACAUGUUUUAUACAAAAUUUCAAAAGGGGGAGCAUGUUUACAGUGAAUAAAAUACUGAAGCGUGAUAUUCCACAUUACCUUUAUACUCCUUUUUAUUGUUUUUCUGAGUUGUUCCUCUCAGCAGACAACCAUUCUGCAUUGCAACCAUGAGCUGAUUAUUCCUUUCAUUAUUGACAUCAUCCUUGAAAAUCUUGGUAUCUCCUGCUGUUCUUUGGUUGGAGGUUUUAGAACUCCCACCAAUAGGAACUUCCAUAUUUUUAAAAGAGAAGUUUGCAUCUCUCUCUUCACUUAUCUGUAGACUCUUCAUUUGUACAGAUAUGUCCGCCUCAACUUUGAUUGGUUCUUCAUUAUAGCCUAAUAGUUCUGGUUCUUUCUUCCUAGCAUCAUGCAAAAUCUCUUCCAGUGACUUGUUUUUAUGCUUGUAUCCAUAAUUCUGCAUGAAUGCGUAAUGAUUCAUAAGCAACAAGUAUGCUCUGUAAUGCCUUUUAAGAAACAUGGAAAUGACAAAAUGAGUCCAUUUUUUCAACAAAAGAGGAGGUACGAUAAAAAGUGAAUGUACAUUGUCAAAUUAUAUACAAUACAUGAGCAAAUGUUUUCACAACACAUAAAACACACAAUGUCCAAAUAAAUGAAAGAAACACAAGAUACUAAGUUUACAUGUUUACAUAUCUGUUGGAGAAUUAGUAUCAGGAUAUGUGAAGAAAGGGAUAUAAGAGUCUGAGUCCAUAGUCUAUAAGAAUCUCGUUGUAUCCACAUUAGUAUGGGUACGGUAGUAUCCAUAUUAGUCUGGGUCCGGCUGUAAUCCACGUGAUUUCCCCUAAUUCCUACUCCCUCUGUUCUAAUUAAUUGGCGCCGGAAAUUUCGCAAAAGAACCCUUGCUAUUUCCCGAAAUCGACCUGCAGUCCACGUUCUACCAGAACUUUUGCAAAAAAAAAACCCUGUAGUUUUUCAGAAUCAACGCGCAGUCCACGUUCAAUUGAGUACUCCCUCCGUUCUAUAUUAAUUAGCGUGGAGUAUAGAACAUAAUAUCUACCUGAAGCCUAAUUUCUACAUGGAUUUAAUCGGCAGGCUUGCAUAUUUUUCUCAAAGAAUCACAUGGAAGGAAUAUGGGGAUUGAAGUUGGAUCUGUUGUGCUGCCAUGAGAAUAAUGAAAUCAAGACUUCUGGUAAUGCUCUAGACCGGAGGGGGAGCGAAGGAAUAAGGGUACUGCAGUGCUAGAAAACCAGAGAAGAAGAGAAAGGACAAAUGGGUCGCUGUUUGCUGUAAUGACGUCUUUACAGCACAUGAUUUGGGAUGACGAAGGAAGAUCUCAGUGUGGCAACAAACAUUGUUGAAUCACAGCGAUGAUGGAAGAUACAUGUGGCAUAGUUUGCUUAUCUGGUGUGCUAAUGUUGCUUACGUAAGUGAUCGUUCACAUGUAAAGUGUUCUGUUCAAGGAACCCAGA